AGUAAAAUCAGCUAAUUAAGCUCUUGGGCCCAUACCCCAAACAUGUUGGUUAAAAUCCUUCUUUUACUG
rnacentral:tRNA from 2 species